rnacentral:rRNA from 1 species
AUUGAACGCUGGCGGCAGGCUUAAAACAUGCAAGUCGAACGAGUGGCGGACGGGUGGGUAAUGCUUGGGCAUCUAGCUUAUGGAGGGGGAAAAAUACGGGAAACUGUAGCAAAUACCGCGUACCAUAGGAUGAGCCCAAGUGGGAUUAGGUAGUUGGUGAGGAAAAGGCUCACCAAGCCGACGAUCUCUAGCGGGUCUGAGAGGAUGACCAGCCACACUGGGACUGAGACACGGCCCAGACUCCUACGGGAGGCAGCAGUGGGGAAGAUUGCGCAAUGGUGGCAACCCUGACUCAGCCAUGCCGCGUGUAUGAAGAAGGCCUUAGGGUUGUAAAGUACGUUCAGCGGGGAGGCGUUACCCGCAGAAGAAGCACCGGCUAACUCCGUGCCAGCAGCCGCGGUAAUUC